AACGAACGCUGGUGGUAUGCUUAACACAUGCAAGUCGAACGAGCGUGGCCUAGUUUACUAGGAUUCUGCUAGUGGCGCACGGGUGAGGAACACGUGGGAAUCUACCUUAUAGUACGGAAUAACAUUCAGAAAUGAAUGCUAAUACCGCAUAAUACCUCCGGGUCAAAGAUUUAUCGCUAUAAGAUGAGCCCGCGUUAGAUUAGCUAGUUGGUAAGGUAAAAGCUUACCAAGGCUACGAUCUAUAGCUGGUCUGAGAGGAUGAUCAGCCACACUGGGACUGAGACACGGCCCAG
rnacentral:rRNA from 1 species